AGGUUUUUGCUGAUGUGGCCAUGUGGGUGGGUUCGGACAGGCUUGGUUUUCUGCUUAGGCCCUUGAUAUAGACUAACAUCGUGCAUUCAUCAGCUAUGAGGUCCACAGAGAAGGCUUGGUUUUCUGCUUAGGCCCUUGAUAUACACUAACAUCGUGCAUUCAUCAGCUAUGAGGUCCACAGAGAAGCUGAGACAUGAUAACUCCUGAAUGGAGGGCAACUUCAGCUCAUGUUGACAGAAUUAGGUGACAACUUGUUGAUAUCUCCUUCAAGACUGUACCUCAAAACAACAGGGCCAUGGAGUUCUGUUGUCGGUGACUGGUGUCUGAUGAAUCAUGUGAUAAGACAAGGCAUCACUCCUGUCCUGGUCUCGCUCCUUUUUUGGACCAGCUCUUUGCAAAGAAUGAGUGUCACGAAGCAGGAGGGGGAGAAGAUGAUGGGCUCAUAAAAUGGUGAGAGAUGCCUGCCAACGCCCCUCCUCCUCGGAGCAUUCUCGUCUCCGUUAGGCAGCUCCUAUUCCGGAUUGGUGAAAGGCCUUUGUUUUCCUAUUUUGAGGAAGCUGCGGCCUGUCAUCUUGGAGAAGCGAGACACCUGGUAAUGCCUUUGUUUUCCUAUUUUGAAGAUACAUGUAAGAUAACAAUUGGUAUCUCGAUCCUCUAGGUAAUGCCUUUGUUUUCCUAUUUUGAGUCAACUGGUGUAAAUUUCAUUCUUUGUUGUUGUCUAAAUUAAUGCAAUCAUUAUAAGAAAAUAGGAGAUUACUUGAGAAAGUUGCGGAUAUUUUUUUAUUUUCCCGAGAUCAUGCCUUGCAGUGACUGGAUUAAGAUAAUGAUCGAUGACUAUUUCUAUAGUCAUUAGCCCAUCAUGUGUUCACACUUAACAUCUAAUCUAAUAUUCUAUGAUAAAAAAGUUCAUUACAAGGUUUACACCUUCUAGCUAUCAAUCGUUGAAGAAGCUAGACAGCAGUAGAAAAUGGUCUGCGGUCUGUACUUUUAUUGCAUCAAUGGUAAUGCAGUUAUAAGGUUCUUUGUUUUCGUUGUGUUCCGAUCCGAUAGAAGAAUGGUGUAUCAAUUUCAUUGCAUCCAGUUAUUUGCUACCGAUUUGCUUUUUGAUAUUGAAGUGUUUCUAGAUUUUGUAUUUCUUACUGAAUAUUGUCACCAUGUUUUUCCAUUUUUUGUUCGAUGAUGUUGCUUGGUCCUUGCUAAGUAAAGCACCAGUGCCAGACGGUUGCAUAAACUGCUCAAAAGGGAACCAGAUACCUUGCUCGAUCAUGCAUGUAACAAUUUGCUAGAGAUUAACAUAAAUGUUUUACCCAAAUUGUUCUUCUGUAGGGUUCAUUGUUUUUUAUAGCAUGGUGUAUGAUUUAUUUGUGGUUGAUUAAACAAGUCAGCAUUAUGGUUCACACAUUGAAAAGGGCAUACAAUCUUGUGUUAUUUUUCAUGUAUCUAUUCACUUAAAUAAACUAAUUUAGGGAACAGUUCCUCUUAUGUACUCAUGGGCGUAAAGUUGAGGUGAUAAAACCCACUUUAUCUUCCCUGCUGUUAUUUCAUUUUGCAGAUAAUAAGCAGUGGUUAAUUUUAAAGGAACUUCAGAUUUGAUAUUAGUUACCUGAUGUUCUUUGUCCAGCAUGCUUUGUUUGGCAGCAGGAUUCGUCAUUUUAAUGUAACUUAAGAUUUGAUAUUAGUUACCUGAUCUUCAAAUAGUCAUUUAGCUGUCAUCGGUGAAUAUGGGCCACUAUGGUAAUCGACAUGUUGAGGAAACAUGUAGGCUCUAGCUUUUUUGUUGAGCUGGGAUGUCUUUUGAAGUGCUCAAUAUCUCAGCCUGUGCAUUCCCGGUUUGAUCUGGGUUCUGCUGGUUCCUUAAACCAAACCGUAUGCCACAGUUUACUUUGGAUUGGUCUGGUUUAGACCGUUUAGAUAGGAGAUGAUUGGCCGGUCUGGUGCGGGCUGGUCCGACGGUGUAGUCUGUUUCGCACUGUUUGAGCGCUCAAGUACAUAAUUGCUGUAGAAAGGGACAAAAUUGGCGAUCCGCGGCCACACCACCAGGAACAUGAAGCCCCGCUUCUCCUCACACCGUCGUCCGUCAUGGAGAAGAAACGGCUAUCAUCUGCC